rnacentral:rRNA from 1 species
GACGAACGCUGGCGGCGUGCUUAACACAUGCAAGUCGAACGGAAAGGCCCUGCUUUUGCGGGGUGCUCGAGUGGCGAACGGGUGAGUAACACGUGAGUAACCUGCCCCUGACUUUGGGAUAACUUCAGGAAACUGGGGCUAAUACCGGAUAGGAGCUCCUGCUGCAUGGUGGGGGUUGGAAAGUUUCGGCGGUUGGGGAUGGACUCGCGGCUUAUCAGCUUGUUGGUGGGGUAGUGGCUUACCAAGGCUUUGACGGGUAGCCGGCCUGAGAGGGUGACCGGCGACAUUGGGACUGAGAUACGGCCCAGACUCCUACGGGAGGCAGCAGUGGGGAAUAUUGCACAAUGGGCGGAAGCCUGAUGCAGCAACGCCGCGUGCGGGAUGACGGCCUUCGGGUUGUAAACCGCUUUCGCCUGUGACGAAGCGUGAGUGACGGUAAUGGGUAAAGAAGCACCGGCUAACUACGUG